rnacentral:snRNA from 1 species
GGAUGUGAGGGCGAUCUGGCUGUGACAUCUGUCAUCCCAUUGAUCUCCAGGGUUGAUUCGGCUGAUCUGGCUGGCUAGGCGGUGUCCCCUUCCUCCCUCACCGCUCCAUGUGUGUCCCUCCCGAAGCUGCGCGCUCCGCCUUCCCCCGAAUAGAAACAGACUGGUCUUAAGUCGAGUGUAUAAGAGUAGCUGCGCUCCCCUGCUAGAACCUCCAGACAAGCUCUCAAAAGCACAUUCAUCUGUAAACUAUCUUAAAUUCCAAAAUAUUUUCACAAAGAUAGCAAUCUUU